GACGAAGGGGGCUAGCGUUGUUCGGAAUUACUGGGCGUAAAGCGCGUGUAGGCGGUUGCCCAAGUCGGGUGUGAAAGCCUUGAGCUCAACUCAAGAAAUGCACUCGGUACUGGGUGACUAGAGGACCGGAGAGGAUAGUGGAAUUCCGGGUGUAGUGGUGAAAUGCGUAGAGAUCCGGAGGAACCCCAGAGGCGAAGGCGGCGCUCUGGCUCGCAACUGACGCUGAGGCGCGAAAGCUAGGGGAGCAAACAGG
rnacentral:rRNA from 1 species